UACGUAGGGGGCAAGCGUUGUCCGGAAUCAUUGGGCGUAAAGCGCGUGUAGGCGGUUCGGUAAGUCGGCUGUGAAAGUCCAGGGCUCAACCCUGGGAUGCCGGUCGAUACUGCCGGACUAGAGUCCGGAAGAGGCAAGUGGAAUUCCCGGUGUAGCGGUGAAAUGCGUAGAUAUCUGGAGGAACACCGGUGGCGAAGGCGGCAUCCUGGACCGGUAUUGACGCUGAGGCGCGAAAGCUAGGGGAGCAAACGGG
rnacentral:rRNA from 1 species